rnacentral:rRNA from 1 species
CUUUUGACCUCGGAUCAGGUAGGGAUACCCGCUGAACUUAAGCAUAUCAAUAAGCGGAGGAAAAGAAACCAACAGGGAUUGCCCUAGUAACGGCGAGUGAAGCGGCAACAGCUCAAAUUUGAAAUCUGGCUCUUUUAGAGCCCGAGUUGUAAUUUGCAGAGGGCGCUUUGGCGUUGGCAGCGGUCCAAGUUCUUUGGAACAGGACGUCACAGAGGGUGAGAAUCCCGUACGUGGUCGCUAGCCUGGCCGUGUAAAGCCCCUUCGACGAGUCGAGUUGUUUGGGAAUGCAGCUCUAAAUGGGAGGUAAAUUUCUUCUAAAGCUAAAUACUGGCCAGAGACCGAUAGCGCACAAGUAGAGUGAUCGAAAGAUGAAAAGCACUUUGGAAAGAGAGUCAAAUAGCACGUGAAAUUGUUGAAAGGGAAGCGCUUGCAGCCAGACUUGCCUGUAGUUGCUUAUCCAGACUUUUGUCUGGUGCACUCUUCUAUAGGCAGGCCAGCAUCAGUUUGGGCGGUUGGAUAAAGGUCUCUGUCACGUACCUCCUUUCGGGGAGGCCUUAUAGGGGAGACGACAUGCAACCAGCCUGGACUGAGGUCCGCGCAUCUGCUAGGAUGCUGGCGUAAUGGCUGUAAGCGGCCCGUCUUGAAACACGGACCAAGGAGUCUAACAUCUAUGCGAGUGUUUGGGUGUCAAGCCCAGACGCGUAAUGAAAGUGAACGGAGGUGGGAACCUUUUAGGUGCACCAUCGACCGAUCCUGAUGUCUU